rfam:Ipomoea nil DNA, scaffold: scaffold1317, cultivar: Tokyo-kokei standard.
GCGGAUGUAGCUCAUAUGGUAGAGUGCUCGCUUCGCAUGCGAGAGGUAUGGGUAUCGAUAACCGCAUCUCCA